rnacentral:misc_RNA from 1 species
UCUGGCUUAUAGCCUAGCGGUCUCGUUAGAGUGCCCAACUUAAUGAUGGUAACUAACGACGAGGGUUGCGCUCGUUGCGGGACUUAACCCAACAUCUCACAACACGAGCUGACGACAGCCAUGCAGCACCUGUCUCCGGGUCUCCGAAGAGAACCCCUAAUUUCUUAGGGUAGCCCGGGAUGUCAAGUCCAGGUAAGGUUUUUCGCGUAGCAUCGAAUUGAACCACAUGCUCCACCGCUUGUGCGGGCCCCCGUCAAUUCCUUUGAGUUUUAAUCUUGCGACCGUAAUCCCCAGGCGGGAUACUUAAUGCGUUAGCUGCGUCACCGAGUCUAUUAGGAAACCCGACGACUAGUAUCCAUCGUUUAGGGCGUGGACUAC